AGAACGAACGCUGGCGGCGUGCCUAAUCCAUGCAAGUCGAACGCGAACGGCUUCCUUCGGGAGGCCUAGUAGAGUGGCGGACGGGUGAGUAACACGUGGGCAACCUGCCCUAGAGUGGGGAAUAACCUCUCUAACGAGAGGCUAAUACCGCAUACGACCGAACCUUCGCAUGUUGGAUCGGUGAAAGAGGGGGUCUUCGGACCUCUCGCUCUGGGAUGGGCCCGCGCUCCAUUAGCUUGUUGGUGGGGUAAUGGCCUACCAAGGCUUCGAUGGAUAGCCGACCUGAGAGGGUGAUCGGCCACACUGGGACUGAGAUACGGCCCAGACUCCUACGGGAGGCAGCAGGAGGGAAUAUUGCACACUGCGCGAAAGCGCGAUGCAGCAACGCCGCGUGGGGGAUGACGCUUUUAGAAGUGUAAACCUCAAACGAUCGGGGACGAACAUCUCGCGGGUUAAUACCCCGCGGGACUGACGGUACCCGACACGAAGCCCCGGCUAACUCCGUGCCAGCAGCCGCGGUAAUACGGGGGGGGCUAGCGUUGUUCGGAAUUACUGGGCGUAAAGGGCGUGUAGGCGGGUGCGUAAGUCAGAGGUGUAAUCCCACGGCUCAACCGUGGACUUGCCUUUGAUACUGCGCGUCUUGAGUGUAGGAGAGGAGCGUGGAAUUCCCAGUGUAGCGGUGAAAUGCGUAGAUAUUGGGAAGAACACCGAUGGCGAAGGCAGCGCUCUGGCCUAACACUGACGCUGAGGCGCGAAAGCGUGGGGAGCGAACGGGAUUAGAUACCCCGGUAGUCCACGCCGUAAACGAUGGGCACUAGGUGUGGGAGGAAUUGACCCCUCUCGUGCCGAAGCUAACGCAUUAAGUGCCCCGCCUGGGGAGUACGGUCGCAAGGCUG
rnacentral:rRNA from 1 species